UUUCGGCUGGACGGACAUAUACUAAAAAUGAAAAGAUACAGAGAAGAUUAGCAUGUGCCUGCGCAAGGAUGACACGCAAAAUGGGAAAAAAUGAUAUAAACGUAU